rnacentral:rRNA from 1 species
GAUGAACGCUAGCGGCAGGCUUAAUACAUGCAAGUCGAGGGGCAGCAGGUCUGUAGCAAUACAGAUGCUGGCGACCGGCAAACGGGUGCGGAACACGUACAGAACCUUCCUUCGAGUGGGAGAUAGCCCAGGGAAACUUGGAGUAAUACCCCAUAGGAUAGUAGAGUGGCAUCACUCAGCUAUUAAAGAUUCAUCGCUCGAAGAUGGCUGUGCGGCUGAUUAGGUAGUUGGCGGGGUAACGGCCCACCAAGCCUUCGAUCAGUAACUGGUGUGAGAGAACGACCAGUCACACGGGCACUGAGACACGGGCCCGACUCCUACGGGAGGCAGCAGUAAGGAAUAUUGGGCAAUGGAGGCAACUCUGACCCAGCCAUGCCGCGUGGAGGAUGGAGGUCCUCUGGAUUGUAAACUUCUUUUAUUUGGGAAGAAAUGCUGACUUUCUAGUUGGUUUGACGGUACCAGAUGAAUAAGCACCGGCUAACUCCGUGCCAGCAGCCGCCGUAACAC